rnacentral:rRNA from 1 species
GAUGUUAGCGGCGGACGGGUGAGUAACACGUGUGGUAACCUGCCUGUAAGACUGGGAUAACUCCGGGAAACCGGGGCUAAUACCGGAUGGUUGUCUGAACCGCAUGGUUCAGACAUAAAAGGUGGCUUCGGCUACCACUUACAGAUGGACCCGCGGCGCAUUAGCUAGUUGGUGAGGUAACGGCUCACCAAGGCGACGAUGCUUAGCCGACCUGAGAGGGUGAUCGGCCACACUGGGACUGAGACACGGCCCAGACUCCUACGGGAGG